ensembl:lncRNA
AUGACUGAUACAUAUUUUCUCUGCCAUUUUCUACAUCACAACUCCUACACACUUCCUCUGAAAGGUUUUGUCUCGUCGUGCCAGGAGACGGCAUCACAGUAUGGUAAGGGGCGUAGCAUUUUCGUCACAGGCUUGAGGCAUUCAGCCAAUCACAAUGCACUGGGUAGCUGGCCAAUCAGAGCAAACCUCGAUUUUCAGAACGAUGAGCUUUGUAAAAAUCAUAUCAUAUGACCCCUUUAAUGUUUUACUUGAACAGUGAGAGGUGGUUUGUUAAACCCGUCUGUGCAUUGAAAUGUCUCAGCUGUAAAUUGGUGUGAUUAUUCUGUUUGUCACAGUUGUGAAGGAAUAAUUGAAUAGCCCAUUUCCCAUUUCAUAUCUAUCAAUGUGACUCUCAAGUAGGCAAGCACGUUUUGAAUUGUGGCCUUUGAGAGUAUGUUAGGAUAUUAUUGAUGUUUUUAUGCUCUCUUCUUCUUUUUCUCUCCCUGCAUCAACCUAAUUUGAAUUCAUGGUGUAAGCGGAGGAUUAAAAACACUAUUAUUGUUUGAUGCAUCCUGCUUGACUCACUGUUUUCUCACAUAGCCGAUUAUAAAACACAUGACCUUUAUUUUUUUGUAGAUAAUACCUAAUUGCUAUUACAUGGACUAUAUCUUUAUAUAAAAUCUAGUUACAUAAAACAAGAAAACUAGAUUAGUGCUUAAAAUAAAUUGACAGUUGAUUAUAUUGGUAUAAUGCUAAGACAUUACAUGCUAAGAAUAUGAAGACAUUUUUGUUUGCAUCCAUACAGGCUCAAAUGAGCACAGCUUCAUCUGACUGUGCAGAUAGACAGACUCAAAUCAGGGAAUAUUUUUUUUUCAUCACUGAGCAUAAAGAAAUCAAAGUUUCUCAACAUCGAUAUGAAAACAGAAAUCAAAGCAGGGACAUAAAAAAAUCUUGCUUGUCGCAGACUCUGAUUUGACUGACAAUGUCACUUGUCGUUUCAGAGUUAUUUGGGGAAAGCUUGUGCAAAAAUUAUCCACAGAACAAUGCAAGUAGAAGUGAGUCUGAAAUAUCUGCUUUGUUGCACUUUUGGCUUUCUGAGCAAGCCUGCAGGGGUUUUAUGAGACUCUUGACCAGUCCAAAAGUGAAGUAUUUUUCCAAACCCUCUUGAUAUAUGCCAUAAACCUUGGCUGAGAAAUGCCACUCCAUAAUUCUCUCUCUAAACAUUUCAAUCAUCAUCUUGCCAUUCCCUGGGAUGUGUGUUUCUGCACUUAGGACUAAAUGUCAUUAUCCUUUUCUGUCAUUAAAAGGCUGUUAUGACAUUAACAUAAACUGUUUAAAUGAUACCUAUUAUGAGAGUGUAAAGAAUCGUUUUGUGUCUUUUGGCUUGUGUGAUUGUGAUAAUUUGGUUUGUGUAUUUGUUUGAAAACAGAUAUUUGUUUUUGUCAAAUGAACAUAGUAAAAUUUUCAUUUAAUAUUCUGUGUUUGGUGUUUAAUGACUUCUGUCAGACAAUACAGAUACUGAUUAGGAAGCACUGGAAGAAAUGCCUCUUGGUCUACAAAUCUUACAAAUCUUUACAAAUCUUACACAUUCCAUGAACUGAUGUAUUUCCAAGAAGAAAAUCUAGGCUGGGACGAAAUGAUAUCCAUGAAGUAUUUAACUGAUAAAAUAUCAUUUACUCAGCGGCGGCCCUAGCGUUUUGGGGGCCUUAAGCAGAUUUUCAAAAGGGGUCCCCAUACUAGGGAUGGGCAUUCGAUUAAAUUUUCUUAGUCGAUCGUCGGGAGAAUACUAUCGAUUAAUCAUUAAUUUUUUUUAUAAUAUAAUUAAUUAUUUAAUUUUUAUAAUUAAAAAAUGCAAUGAAUACAAAAAUACAACGUGUUUUUCCUCGGUGAGACCUUUAUUACAAGAUCAACUUGUGGCAGACAGUUAAACUACGUUCAGGCAAACCGAACAUAUAUGCGCGUGCAUAUGCAGUGCUCUAAAGCAGCGGAACCUGCAGCUGCUAGCAGGCGUUCUUAAACAGAGACCUCAUUUGUUCCAAAACAAUAAUAAUGAUAAAAGAAUCAUGUUAAACAAUAACAUAAAAAAAAAACAUUAUAAUACUUAGAUCUGACAGAUUUUGUGUAACUCAAAACUAUUCAAGCCAGAAGAAAAGGCCAGAUAUUAGCCUUCCUAACAAUUACGCUAACGUAACAAAUUAUGCUACUUAAAGCCUCAUGAAAAAUAACUAACUUUAGUAACUAGCAUACAACGUCUGCACGAGUCUACGGAUUUUUGUUGAGAAAUACCGUAUAAGCAUGUUGAUAUGAUCUGGUGUCAGACGCGACCGCAACCAUGGUGACCGUCAGUCCAGCCGCCGAAAACACCCACUCUGAGGGAACUGACGUUGCCGGGAUGCACAGGUACAUCAUUUGAGUCGUGGCCGAGUUGUACUUAAACACCCCAUCGCAAUGUUCGCAGUUAACUAGUUCCCUUUUUAAUCAAAAUGGUCCCACGCCACACUUAGCCGUGACAUCUUCAUGAUUACUCUUUGAAAUCAAAACGGAAGAUCACAGAUAACCGAGUAGGGUGUCAAAUAUUGCACCCUGGUGGUAAAAUAUUUAAUUGCUGCCACACAGUGAAAUUCAUUUAAUUGCUUCAAGACUCGCACUACGCAACGCAACCUGCAUUAGAUAAAAAAAUGCUUUAGAUUAAUCGAUAACAAAUUAACAUGAUCGAGGAAAAUCUUAACGAUCAAUUAUCGAUCGUCGAUUAAUCAUGCCCAUCCCUACAGUUUCACCUAACCACCUGGAUCCCAUCCCAAUGUACACAUCCUACACGGGCACCUAAAAGUUUACCAAUUUGUUUUGCUCCAUAUAUUUUUCUUUCAAGUAGGGUUGGGCGAUAUGGUCAAAAAGUCACAUCUCUGUAUUUUUUGUCCGAUUUGCGAUAUCCGAAAUAUAUCUUGGUAUUUUUGUUUUUGUGUUUGGAUUAAAAAAAUCUGUAUUUAAUCUCUAUUUAUUUUACUUACCACCCAAUGUUGUCCAACAAAACAAUAUAUAUUAAAGGCUAUUAAACUAAUAAAGUUAAUGUAACCAUGUACAGUAUUGUUCAAAAUAAUAGCAGUACAAUGUGACUAACCAGAAUAAUCAAGGUUUUUAGUAUAUUUUUUAUUGCUACGUGGCAAACAAGUUACCAGUAGGUUCAGUAGAUUGUCAGAAAACAAACAAGACCCAGCAUUCAUGAUAUGCACGCUCUUAAGGCUGUGCAAUUGGGCAAUUAGUUGAAAGGGGUGUGUUCAAAAAAAUAGCAGUGUCUACCUUUGACUGUACAAACUCAAAACUAUUUUGUACAAACAUUUUUUUUUUCUGGGAUUUAGCAAUCCUGUGAAUCACUAAACUAAUAUUUAGUUGUAUGACCACAGUUUUUUAAAA